rnacentral:lncRNA from 1 species
CCACGAGGCGGAACUUGAGCAGAACCAAUCUAGAGCUCUGGCAGGACGAUUCUGCCGGGGAAACUUCCCUCCCGGAGGGGGAAAUCGUCGGCAUCGUCAUCACCAACACUCCUCUCAUCGGAGGGGACUCGUCACCAUCAACAUCUUCAUCAGCACCAUCUCAUCUCCAAACCCUAGUUCAUCACUUGUAACCAAUCUCCGUCUCGCGAC